rnacentral:rRNA from 1 species
GUCCAACCUGCCCAGUGAACACUUCAACGGCCGCGGUAUCCUAACCGUGCAAAGGUAGCAUAAUCACUUGUUCCCUAAAUAGGGACUUGUAUGAACGGUUAAAUGAGGGCCUAACUGUCUCCUGUAACCAAUCAAUGAACUUAUGCUUACAGUACAAACACUGUAAUAUAACUAUAAGACGAGAAGACCCUGUGGAGCUUAAAGCUACUACAUUAACUAACUACCCCUAACCCAUAGCCAGUAUAAUGUAACCUUUAAGUUGGGGCGACUGUGGAGUAAAAAAAACCCUCCAUGCAACACGACUAAAAAUCGAUCUGCUAGGCUAACAAGCCUUGCCAAAAAAUGACCCAGUAAAACUGACUAUCGAACCAAGUUACCCCAGGGAUAACAGCGCCAUCCCCUUAAAGAGUCCACAUCACCAAGGGGGUUUACGACCUCGAUGUUGGAUCAGGACCCCCAAGUGGUGCAGCCGCUACUAAAGGUUCGUUUGUUCAACGAA